rnacentral:lncRNA from 1 species
CUUACUAGAAUAAUUCUAUGUGUACAGACAAACAUUCACAGAAGCCUUACAGAAUUUCCUAAAAUACCAGUAACACUGGCCAAAAAAGAGAAGGAAAAAACGCGGGAAGAGAGUGUAAGAAAAGGAAACAUGAGGGAAGAGACGAGCCCAUUUCUAGCUGUAAUUCCCGUCCAUCUUCUUCGACAGCUUACCGAUCCAAGUUCGUCUUCUCCGAUAGAUGAACUCAGUUGAUUUCUCUAUUCGACUUGUGCGUUUUUCAGUCAAAAAAACCAGUCGACUUAUGAAGAAAACUGAGAAAGGAGACUUCGAAGGUGGAGAACAUUUACAUCUCUGACUUCGGCAAAAUCAGUCCAAGUUCGUCUUCUCUGACUAGUGAUUAACCAAGCGAGUAUGAUAUUGGGAAGAUAGUUGCUUCAGUUCAUGAAGUCUUCCUUCAUUCUCUUCUGUCGUUGCAUUGUCUCAUCAUUCUACACAAUUUUCACAAAAUCCAUAAAAAUCAUCAUCAAAUCGGAAGAAAAAAAGUUCCAAUGGGAAGAUAGUUGCUUCAGUUCAUGAAGUCUUCCUUCAUUCUCUUCUGCCGUUGCAUUGUCUCAUCAUUCUACACAUUUUCACAGAACCCAUAAAAAUCCAUCAUCAAAUCGGAAGAAAAAAAGUUCCAAAAACCCCCAAUUUAAGAGUGAUAAAAUAUUAAACCAUUUGAACGUGUACAUAUUGAUCUAUAGGCUUUUGAUUGUCAUGAAGCAAGUCGAUCCGGCUGCGCAGGGCGCUCCAGAAUCACUUAUCUGAAGACGGGCUAAAUAUUGAGGGCGAAGAUCCCGUUAAGCUUGGCAAUAUCUGAUAAAAUAGCAAGAAAUGCUUGGAAAUUAACAGAAAAUUCUGGAGUUUAAUUAAAUGAAAGAAUGGUUG